AGCUCCAGCAGCGUAUAUUUAUAUUGCUGCGUUUAAAAAGCUCGUAGUUGAAGCGUCAGACGCGGGAGGGCGGACGGCCGCACUGGUCGCUCUCGCCCGACCGAGCCAGGCGCAGAGGGCGCGCGUCGCUUGCACUUUACCGUGUGAGCGCGCCGCCGCUGCACGUUCACCUUGAAGAAAUUGAACCGCUUAGAGGGGGCGAGCAGCUUGCACAGCUCAGCAUGGUAUGAUGGAACAUGGGCUCGUACUCAUUUUGUUGGUUAGAGAGUCGGCGAGCCAAUGAUUAACAGGGACUGCCGGGGGCAUUCGUACUCGGACGGGAGAGGUGAAAUUCAAGGAUCGUCCGAAGACGCCCUACUGCGAAAGCAUUUGCCAAGAAUGUUUUCAUUAAUCAAGAACG
rnacentral:rRNA from 1 species